UUUCCGUAGGUGAACCUGCGGAAGGAUCAUUAGUGAAUUUUGAGCACUGAAGCACUGCAGGCUCGUCCUCCACUCUCCACUCUGUGCAUCAUUAACCUGGGACGACGGCUUUCGAGCUAGAGACCCAGGUAUACCUUUACAAACAUGAGUUAACGAACGUAAACAAAACCAUAACAAAAAAAACUUUCAACAACGGAUCUCUUGGCUCUC
rnacentral:misc_RNA from 1 species